UACGUAGGGCGCAAGCGUUGUCCGGAAUUAUUGGGCGUAAAGAGCUCGUAGGCGGUUUGGUCGCGUCUGCUGUGGAAAUCCCGAGGCUCAACCUCGGGCUUGCAGUGGGUACGGGCAGACUAGAGUGCGGUAGGGGAGACUGGAAUUCCUGGUGUAGCGGUGGAAUGCGCAGAUAGUCAGGAGGAACACCGAUGGGCGAAGGC
rnacentral:rRNA from 1 species